UUGCCAGACUCCUACGGGAGGCAGCAGUGGGGGAUAUUGCACAAUGGGGGGAACCCUGAUGCAGCGUCGCCGCGUGGGUGAAGAAGCGCCUCGGCGCGUAAAGCCCUGUCAGCAGGGAAGAAAAUGACGGUACCUGAAGAAGAAGCCCCGGCUAACUACGUGCCAGCAGCCGCGGUAAUACGUAGGGGGCAAGCGUUAUCCGGAUUUACUGGGUGUAAAGGGAGCGUAGACGGUUAUGUAAGUCUGGAGUGAAAGCCCGGGGCCCAACCCCGGGACUGCUUUGGAAACUGUGUAACUGGAGUACAGGAGGGGCAGGCGGAAUUCCUGGUGUAGCGGUGAAAUGCGUAGAUAUCAGGAGGAACACCGGCGGCGAAGGCGGCCUGCUGGACUGAAACUGACGUUGAGGCUCGAAAGCGUGGGGAGCAAACAGGAUUAGAUACCCGCGUAGA
rnacentral:rRNA from 1 species